CUACCGGACAAGUUCACCUUAGGACCUAUGCUACCGGUCAAAGAUUUUAGAACACCUGCUCAUUCAAGGGUUUUUCUUUAUGUUUAUUUCCUACGUUGUAGAACAAUAGUGAAGACAUCAAACCUUUUUUUUUUCAAAGCUGUCAUCAAGGCAAAAGGUGGCUAUUUGAAGAAGCUCAAAUCUCAAAUAUAUUUAGAUUUAUUUAACACUUUUUUGGUUACUACAUGAUUCCAAAUGUGUUAUUUCAUAGUUUUGAUGUCUUCAUUAUUAUUCUACAAUGUAGAAAAUAGUUUUUUUUUUUUUUUUAAAUGAGUAGGUGUUUGAAAACCUUUGACCGGUAGUGUACACUAUAAUUAUGAAACAAAUAGUAUAAUAAAAUGUAUGCUCAUUAUUAUGUGAAGCUGUGGUUGAACGUACAGUAUCUAUACUAAAGAGGUUUCAAUAAGUCAAGACCAUAACGGAAGGAGCUGAACCACAUUCACAUCUCAUGACAUCAUAUUAUAAUGAGGCUCAACAUGAACACAAAAACAGAAGUACCAUUCAGAGGGGGUUCAGGUAUGGAUACACAUUGUGUCCUGUGUGUGUCACACACACACAUCUAACUCUGAGCUUCAGUCCACACACACUCAGGUGGGUGUUUAAUAACAGUAUAACCCAGGUGUGUUUACUAACAGUAUAACUCAGGUGUGUUUACUAACAGUAUAACCCAGGUGUGUUUACUAACAAUAUAACCCAGGUGUGUUUACUAACAAUAUAACCCAGGUGUGUUUACUAACAGUAUAACCCAGGUGUGUCUACUAACAGUA
ensembl:lncRNA